rnacentral:rRNA from 1 species
UACGUAGGGCGCAAGCGUUGUCCGGAAUUAUUGGGCGUAAAGAGCUCGUAGGCGGUCUGUCGCGUCGGAUGUGAAAGCCCGGGGCUUAACCCCGGGUCUGCAUUCGAUACGGGCAGACUAGAGUGUGGUAGGGGAGAUCGGAAUUCCUGGUGUAGCGGUGAAAAUGCGCAGAUAUCAGGAGGAACACCGGUGGCGAAGGCGGGAUCUCUGGGCCGAUUACUGACGCUGAGGAGCGAAAAGCGUGGGGAGCGAACAGG